rnacentral:rRNA from 1 species
UACGAAGGGGGCUAGCGUUGCUCGGAAUUACUGGGCGUAAAGCGCACGUAGGCGGCUUUCUAAGUCGGGGGUGAAAUCCUGGAGCUCAACUCCAGAACUGCCUUCGAUACUGGAAAGCUCGAGUCCGGGAGAGGUGAGUGGAACUGCGAGUGUAGAGGUGAAAUUCGUAGAUAUUCGCAAGAACACCAGUGGCGAAGGCGGCUCACUGGCCCGGUACUGACGCUGAGGUACGAAAGCGUGGGGAGCAAACAGG